rnacentral:rRNA from 1 species
GACGAACCGUGCGAACGUUGUUCGGAAUCACUGGGCUUAAGGGCGCGUAGGCGGGCGGGCAAGUCAGGGGUGAAAUCCCACGGCUCAACCGUGGAAGUGCCUUUGAUACUGCUUGUCUUGAGGGAGGUAGGGGCGUGCGGAACUUCCGGUGGAGCGGUGAAAUGCGUAGAUAUCGGAAGGAACACCGGUGGCGAAAGCGGCGCGCUGGACCUCUACUGACGCUGAGGCGCGAAAGCCAGGGGAGCAAACGGG